AGUGAACGCUGGCGGUAGGCCUAACACAUGCCAGUCGAACGGCAGCACAGUAAGAGCUUGCUCUUACGGGUGGCGAGUGGCGGACGGGUGAGGAAUACAUCGGAAUCUACUUUUUCGUGGGGGAUAACGUAGGGAAACUUACGCUAAUACCGCAUACGACCUACGGGUGAAAGCAGGGGAUCUUCGGACCCUGCGCGAUUGCAUGAGCCGAUGUCGGAUUAGCUAGUUGGCGGGGUAAAGGCCCACCAAGGCGACGAUCCGUAGCUGGUCUGAGAGGAUGAUCAGCCACACUGGAACUGAGACACGGUCCAGACUCCUACGGGAGGCAGCAGUGGGGAAUAUUGGACCAUGGGCGCAAGCCUGAUCCAGCCAUACCGCGUGGGUGAAGAAGGCCUUCGGGUUGUAAAGCCCUUUUGUUGGGAAAGAAAAUCAGCAGGUUAAUACCCCGCUGUUCUGACGGUACCCAAAGAAUAAGCACCGGCUAACUUCGUG
rnacentral:rRNA from 1 species